rnacentral:lncRNA from 7 species
UCAGUGCCACACCUACGCACAUCUAAAAUGGCCGUGCAAGGAGAUCCUGCCGAAGCCAGGACUGUGUGAGCAGAUCAUGCGUUCGAGGCCAUGGGGUGCCCAGGUGGCUCUGAGCAUCUGUUACGUUUCCACACUGAGAACUUGAACAGCUGCUGCUGCAGCAGCGCCAAAGCCUGGGCCAGGGUGCACCCAGCCCAGCGCAGCAGCACUGAAAUGCAGCUAAGUUCAGGUCCACCCUCUGCAGGGGUCUGGCUGAGCAGAGACAGUUGUCUAGAUGCUGUACAUGAUACCCUGUCUAGCACUAGAAAACGCCUGCGUAGCUGCAGGGUUUCUUUUUUAAGACGUCAUUUCUCCAGGAUACACUGGUGUGUUGGUACAGUAAGAAUAACUGUGUUUCUUGUUUAUUUAGCUGGCCACACUGGAGCCAGCAGGGCUUCUUUUUCACACGAGGCAUGCCCUGCUUGCAGUUGGAAAGAGUGCAGGACCCGGUGCCUUCCUGAGUGAUGACACUGAGGAUUUAAGAAUAUCUUUGCAGUUGCUGGAGUAGCGAAGGGUGGAAUGAUGGUCUGCGUUCAACUUGGUUGUACUUCCUCAGUGUGUUCAGUGUAACAAAUGUCAGUAAAACAUACGGAAAGAAACAGGUCUUUUGUAUAUGGUAAAGUGAAAAAUCAACCUAGGAUAUAGUUAUUCCUUCUAAUCUCUUAUCAGUUCCUUCUGGUGUGCAAAGAGUUAGGAUAGCUGAGCACACUGCAUAGGGCACCUUUGGACUAGAUACUUGACUUUGUGGUGGAUGAAGUAUUAAUGCCACUGCUGGAUGGGGCAGAAGAGCCAAAUAUUUUCCUGUUAAUAGCUUUGGAUGAGCCCAGGUCUGCCUCCUGGAUUUUACUGCUGGACUGUCAUAUAUGUGUUCUCUAACAUCUGAUUUGUUCCAGGAAAUCACAUGCAGAUACAGCGCUUCCCUUCACAGCAACCAGAUGCAUGUUUUGAAUUGACACAGGCAGUUUAUCCAUAUUCCUGGACUGCUAAGCACUACUUUCAGCAACUCUCAGGGCUAGAACUCAUUCCCUGGGAAAUUUCUUUCCUGAUGAAUCUUCAAGAUUUACCAGCAGGAGUGCAGAUCUGAGAUAAAACGACCCAUCUUUGCUUCUUUCAGAUGGCAGAGACCAGCUUCUGAUACUGAAGUUUCACUAAAACCAAUGGCAGCAAUGUGAAUGUGCACCCAUUGAGAAAUUGGCCCCAGUCACGUGUUUCCUGAAAUCAUCUGCUUAGAAUAAAGGUUUAAUGCCCC